GACGAACGCUGGCGGCGUGCCUAACACAUGCAAGUCGAACGAAGUGGCGAACGGGUGAGUAACGCGUAAUCAACCUGCCCUUCAGAGGGGGACAACAGGUGGAAACGACUGCUAAUACCGCAUACUGAAGGAGGGGAGUGCGUCUGAUGAGCUAGUUGGAGGGGUAACGGCCCACCAAGGCGAGGAUCAGUAGCCGGUCUGGGAGGAUGGACGGCCACAUUGGGACUGGGACACGGCCCAGACUCCUACGGGAGGCAGCAGUGGGGGAUCUUCGGCAAUGGGGGGAAACCUGACCGGGCAACGCCGCGUGAGUGAAGAAGGUUUUCGGGUCGUAAAGCUCUGUUGUUAAGGAAGCGGUACUUAACCAGAAAGGGACGGCUAACUACGUGCCAGCAGCCGCGGUAAUAC
rnacentral:rRNA from 1 species